AACAAACCUCUCCAGGGAGACCAAUAUUUGCACAGUAAAUUGCACAUUCUAAGGCUGUGUGGUCAAUGGAAACGCUCCUUCCAAGUGCCCGAGACCCUCAGGUAUCUUGACUGCCUGCCUGGACAGGUGGAGAUGGAAGAUCAGUCCUCUCGGAGGGGCCGUGGGUUGCUCUAUAGGCACCAGAGCAGACACACAGAAAUGUCCCGUGUGCUGUGCGACGCCUCGCGGAUCUGCGUUCUUCACGGGACGAUGGGGAGAAGAGCGCCAAGAUUCCACAUAUAAAUGAUAAGAGAAGAGCAUCUUUUACAGCUACAGAGCUCGGGACCACGUGCACUUUUUAGGCCAACAGACUUCAGCAUCAAAACCAGGCUGCAUCUGGAACAGUUCAGCAGUGGAGAAGAGCCCAAGCCCCCUAAAACUCUCUGCUUCCCUGAAGCCUGUCCCAGUGCCCCGAGAGUGACCGUGACUUCUUUCUCUGCCCUGCCACCCAUCAUGCUUUAGGGUCAUCUCAGGCUCUUCCCGGUUUUUACCUGCCCCAGAAUGCGUUUACUUCCUCGUGGUCACACCAUGUGAAUGCAGGUGUUUCUAGGAGAAUGGAGAAAGGAGAUGUUUUCGGAAGGGGUGACUUCAGCAGCCCUCAGAAGACAAUGACAUGAUGGACAUUUGCACCACAUGUUCAGGUUUACAGCGGGACCUCAGGUCCCCUGCUGUCUUCCAGUCCUCACCAAACGCUGGGCUCUCAAGGAUGCCGAGACCAGCUGUCCACAGAGUUGGAUGUGAAGGGAAAUGUGACCUUGAUCUGUGGAUCCCGGGAUGGGGACCAAGGACCUGUUUCCUAAAGCUGCUCCCCUAUGGACUUGAGAGUCGCGUCCCAUCUAAGUCCUGCCCACCACCUUCCUCUGGGAUUCUGGACCACUCGGCCCUCAUCCCCUCGUCUUUGUAAGGCUGACCCUUCCUCCCAUCUCCCAUCUCUCUGCUUAUUCUGUUCUGCUGAUGCCCCUGCUAGUGUGAACCUGUUUUCUGGUUCCCCUGUCAAAGCUGAUCUUACCUGGAUGAGGGCUGCAUCCGGCACCCUCCUCCCUCCCUGUGCAGCCAGCCUCACCAGGCAGGACUUCCUCAUCUCUGCUGUGUGAUCAACUUUUGGUCACAAGACCAUCGAGGAUGCGAAUGCCCUUGAAAGCAGGCGCUCCUUUCCUCACAUGAGACCGGGAGCAUCUUAAAGGCAUAUUUUGUAUCUGGCUUCAUGUAUGAUUACAAUACUUGUUUGGUCUUUAUUUGUUAAAUAAAUGA